rnacentral:rRNA from 1 species
UACGUAGGGUGCAAGCGUUGUCCGGAAUCAUUGGGCGUAAAAGCGCGCGUAGGCGGCCUCGUAAGUCCGUUGUGAAAGUCAAAGGCUCAACCUUUGAAAGCCGAUGGAUACUGUGAGGCUAGAGUCCGGAAGAGGCGAGUGGAAUUCCUGGUGGUAGCGGUGGAAUGCGCAGAUAUCAGGAGGAACACCAAUAGCGAAGGCAGCUCGCUGGGACGGUACUGACGCUAAGGCGCGAAAGCGUGGGGAGCGAACAGG